UACAUACUGUGCGAACGUUAUUCGGAAUCACUGGGCUUAAAGGGUGCGUAGGCGGCGAUUCAAGUCAGAUGUGAAAUGCCUGAGCUCAACUGAGGCAUUGCGUUUGAAACUGGAUUGCUGGAGUGUCCCAGGGGUGUGCGGAACUGCCAGUGGAGCGGUGAAAUGUGUUGAUAUUGGCAGGAACACCAGAGGCGAAAGCGGCACACUGGGGGAUAACUGACGCUGAGGCACGAAAGCCAGGGUAGCGAACGGG
rnacentral:rRNA from 1 species